rnacentral:rRNA from 1 species
AGUUUGAUCCUGGCUCAGGAUGAAUGCUGGCGGCGUGCCUAAUACAUGCAAGUCGAGCGGCAGCGCGUCUAGUUUACUAGAUGGCGGCGAGCGGCGGACGGCUGAGUAACGCGUGGGAACAUGCCCCAAAGUGAGGGAUAACGCACCGAAAGGUGUGCUAAUACCGCAUAUGGUCUUCGGAUUAAAGGAUUUAUCCGCUUUGGGAGUGGCCCGCGUACGAUUAGAUUGUUGGUGAGGUAACGGCUCACCAAGUCGACGAUCGUUAACUGGUCUGAGAGGAUGAUCAGUCAGACUGGAACUGAGACACGGUCCAGACUCCUACGGGAGGCAGCAGUAAGGAAUCUUCCACAAUGGGCGAAAGCCUGAUGGAGCAACGCCGCGUGCAGGAUGAAGGCCCUCGGGUCGUAAACUGCUUUUAUGAGUGAAGAAUAUGACGGUAACUCAUGAAUAAGCACCGGCUAACUACGUGCCAGCAGCCGCGGUCAUACGUAGGGUGCAAGCAUUAUCCGGAGUGACUGGGCGUAAAGAGUUGCGUAGGCGGUUAGUAAAGCGAAUAGUGAAACCUGGUGGCUCAACCAUACAGACUAUUAUUCGAACUCACUAACUCGAGAGUGGUAGAGGUAACUGGAAUUUCUUGUGUAGGAGUGAAAUCCGUAGAUAUAAGAAGGAACACCAAUGGCGUAGGCAGGUUACUGGACCAUUUCUGACGCUAAGGCACGAAAGCGUGGGGAGCGAACCGGAUUAGAUACCCGGGUAGUCCACGCCGUAAACGAUGGAUACUAGCUGUCGGGGGUAUCGACCCCCUCGGUAGCGAAGCUAACGCGUUAAGUAUCCCGCCUG